rnacentral:sRNA from 1 species
GGAGCAGCAACGAUGUUACGCAGCAGGGCAGUCGCCCUAAAACAAAGUUAGGGCGACGCCGCUAUUGCGGCGCGAAUACAAA